rnacentral:rRNA from 1 species
UACGUAGGUGGCAAGCGUUGUCCGGAUUUAUUGGGUUUAAAGGGCGCGUAGGCGGUUGGAUAAGUCAGCUGUGAAAACCACGGGCUUAACUCGUGGCCUGCAGUUGAGACUGUCUGGCUUGAGUGUGGGAGAGGAGAGUGGAAUUCCUGGUGUAGCGGUGAAAUGCGUAGAUAUCAGGAGGAACACCGGUGGCGAAGGCGGCUCUCUGGACCACGACUGACGCUGAGGCGCGAAAGCUAGGGGAGCAAACAGG